GCAAGAAAGGAAUUUUUGAACCAAGUCUUAAAGGAGGUUGGGAAUUAUUAGAGGGAACUCAUUCCAGACAGAAUAGCCAGCACUAAGGGGAACAGCUCCCAGAUGUUCCAAACCCCACUGGAAGCCAGGGAAGCUGAAAAGGUGGUAGAGACUAACUCUGAUGAGCACCGGAGAGGGCUGACAGACAUUAAAGGUUUGUGGUCACUGAGGGCCACAUAGACAAGGACUCCCCUUUCGUUUCAUUUCCCAGCCCAUGAGCCCACCAUGUGCUCAGCAUCCUGCCUCUUGAUGGCUGUACACAAGCAGGACCUGUUAACAAAGAAGGGGAUGGAGCUGAAGGAAGCGAGGGGAGGGGAAAUUGCAAGACAGUGACAGAGAGUGACACCAAAACCAAACAAGCAGAUGAAACUCUCCCAACAUCACCAAGUUACCUCCACCGACUCCUGACCUCCACAGUUGAGAACGGCAUCAUAAUAAACACGAAGCAUAUUUUUAGCGUUCUGACUUCAGUUCCUAUGGAUGUAUACUUAGAAGUGUGUUGCUGGUGCAAUGAUUAAUCUUGACUGGAGUUAAGACUCACCUAGAGGACACCACUCUCAACGUGUUAUGUCUCUGUGAUGGUAUUUCCCGAGGCCCGAACUAAGGGAAGAUCAACUCUGACUGGGUGGAAUCAGCCAGUGGGCUGGGGCCUGAAGGACGGAAAGAAAAGGAAAUGAGAGUAAAGCAUCAUUCGCAGUGUGCCCGCCUCCCUCCUGUGUUACUGCAAGAUGUCCAGCCUUCUCCUGCUCCCGGCACCACGUCUUCCCACCAUGAUGGACUGAACCCUCAAAUCAUGAGCCAAAAUAAACCCGUUCCUUAA